rnacentral:rRNA from 1 species
AGAGUUUGAUCCUGGCUCAGGAUGAACGCUGGCGGCGUGCCUAAUACAUGCAAGUCGAGCGAACGGACGAGAAGCUUGCUUCUCUGAUGUUAGCGGCGGACGGGUGAGUAACACGUGGAUAACCUACCUAUAAGACUGGGAUAACUUCGGGAAACCGGAGCUAAUACCGGAUAAUAUUUUGAACCGCAUGGUUCAAAAGUGAAAGACGGUCUUGCUGUCACUUAUAGAUGGAUCCGCGCUGCAUUAGCUAGUUGGUAAGGUAACGGCUUACCAAGGCAACGAUGCAUAGCCGACCUGAGAGGGUGAUCGGCCACACUGGAACUGAGACACGGUCCAGACUCCUACGGGAGGCAGCAGUAGGGAAUCUUCCGCAAUGGGCGAAAGCCUGACGGAGCAACGCCGCGUGAGUGAUGAAGGUCUUCGGAUCGUAAAACUCUGUUAUUAGGGAAGAACAUAUGUGUAAGUAACUGUGCACAUCUUGACGGUACCUAAUCAGAAAGCCACGGCUAACUACGUGCCAGCAGCCGCGGUAAUACGUAGGUGGCAAGCGUUAUCCGGAAUUAUUGGGCGUAAAGCGCGCGUAGGCGGUUUUUUAAGUCUGAUGUGAAAGCCCACGGCUCAACCGUGGAGGGUCAUUGGAAACUGGAAAACUUGAGUGCAGAAGAGGAAAGUGGAAUUCCAUGUGUAGCGGUGAAAUGCGCAGAGAUAUGGAGGAACACCAGUGGCGAAGGCGACUUUCUGGUCUGUAACUGACGCUGAUGUGCGAAAGCGUGGGGAUCAAACAGGAUUAGAUACCCUGGUAGUCCACGCCGUAAACGAUGAGUGCUAAGUGUUAGGGGGUUUCCGCCCCUUAGUGCUGCAGCUAACGCAUUAAGCACUCCGCCUUGGGAGUACGACCGCAAGGUUGAAACUCAAAGGAAUUGAGGGGGCCCCCCACAAGCGGUGGAGCAUGGGGGGUAAUUCGAAGCAACGCGAAGAACCUUACCAAAUCUUGACAUCCUUUGACAACUCUAGAGAUAGAGC